rnacentral:rRNA from 1 species
UACGUAGGUGGCAAGCGUUGUCCGGAAUUAUUGGGCGUAAAGCGCGCGCAGGCGGUCCUUUAAGUCUGAUGUGAAAGCCCACGGCUCAACCGUGGAGGGUCAUUGGAAACUGGGGGACUUGAGUACAGAAGAGAAGAGUGGAAUUCCACGUGUAGCGGUGAAAUGCGUAGAGAUGUGGAGGAACACCAGUGGCGAAGGCGGCGACCUGGGUAGAUACUGACGCUGAGGCGCGAAAGCGUGGGGAGCAAACAGG